GGCCGCCUGGCGAAAUGGUAUCGCGUCUGACUACGAUUCGUGUAUAUCAGGAGAUUGCAGGUUCGAGCCCUGCGGUGGUCA
rnacentral:tRNA from 1 species